rnacentral:pre_miRNA from 1 species
UAUGUACUCCCUCUGUCUGAAAAAGCUUGUCCCUCAAAUGGAUGUAUCCAGCACUAACUUGGUGCUAGAUACAUCCAUUUGAGGGACAAGCUUUUUCGGACGGAGGGGGUAUGCA